rnacentral:rRNA from 1 species
UAGGGAAUCUUCCACAAUGGACGAAAGUCUGAUGGAGCAACGCCGCGUGAGUGAAGAAGGGUUUCGGCUCGUAAAGCUCUGUUGUUAAAGAAGAACAUAUCUGAGAGUAACUGUUCAAUGUGUGACGGUAUCUUACCAGAAAGGAACGGCUAAAUACGUGCCAG